rnacentral:lncRNA from 10 species
AUGAAUUUACAACCAAUUUUCUGGAUUGGACUGAUCAGUUCAGUUUGCUGUGUGUUUGCUCAAACAGAUUUUCUAUAAGAAGCAUAUGCUGGUUUUAUAAUCUCAGAAAAGAUACGUUGGAGACAGUCUGUAUUAGCGCUUACCAUGUAGAAGGCAUACUCUUCCUUAGAUGAAAAUAGAUGUUUAAAAGCAAAUGCCAAAUCAUGUGGAGAAUGUAUACAAGCAGGGCCAAAUUGUGGGUGGUGCACAAAUUCAACAUUUUUACAGGAAGGAAUGCCUACUUCUGCACGAUGUGAUGAUUUAGAAGCCUUAAAAAAGAAGGGUUGCCCUCCAGAUGACAUAGAAAAUCCCAGAGGCUCCAAAGAU